rnacentral:rRNA from 1 species
GUAGGGCGGGACACGUGGUAUCCUGUCUGAAUAUGGGGGGACCAUCCUCCAAGGCUAAAUACUCCUGACUGACCGAUAGUGAACCAGUACCGUGAGGGAAAGGCGAAAAGAACCCCGGCGAGGGGAGUGAAAAAGAACCUGAAACCGUGUACGUACAAGCAGUGGGAGCCUCUUUAUGGGGUGACUGCGUACCUUUUGUAUAAUGGGUCAGCGACUUAUAUUCUGUAGCAAGGUUAACCGAAUAGGGGAGCCGAAGGGAAACCGAGUCUUAACUGGGCGUUAAGUUGCAGGGUAUAGACCCGAAACCCGGUGAUCUAGCCAUGGGCAGGUUGAAGGUUGGGUAACACUAACUGGAGGACCGAACCGACUAAUGUUGAAAAAUUAGCGGAUGACUUGUGGCUGGGGGUGAAAGGCCAAUCAAACCGGGAGAUAGCUGGUUCUCCCCGAAAGCUAUUUAGGUAGCGCCUCGUGAAUUCAUCUCCGGGGGUAGAGCACUGUUUCGGCAAGGGGGUCAUCCCGACUUACCAACCCGAUGCAAACUGCGAAUACCGGAGAAUGUUAUCACGGGAGACACACGGCGGGUGCUAACGUCCGUCGUGAAGAGGGAAACAACCCAGACCGCCAGCUAAGGUCCCAAAGUCAUGGUUAAGUGGGAAACGAUGUGGGAAGGCCCAGACAGCCAGGAUGUUGGCUUAGAAGCAGCCAUCAUUUAAAGAAAGCGUAAUAGCUCACUGGUCGAGUCGGCCUGCGCGGAAGAUGUAACGGGGCUAAACCAUGCACCGAAGCUGCGGCAGCGACACUAUGUGUUGUUGGGUAGGGGAGCG